UACUUGUGAGACACUGGAAUAAAAAUGGAUGAGGUAAGCAGUGUACCCGUGUUGGAUAAUAUCAGAAAAACGCAGUUGCAAUGCCUGAUUUGCUACUCCCAGUACAUCAACCCCAAGACCCUGACUUGCGAACACAGUUUCUGCAAAAACUGUCUAGAAGAAAUGAUGGAAGCCCAUCCAACAAAAAGCAUUUCAUGUCCCGUCUGCAGGAGAGAAACCUCUUUACCAGAGGAAGGAAUUGAUGACCUCCCAAAGAGCUUUUCAUUAAUUAGUUUGAUGGAAACUAUUGCUGAACAACAGCGGCUUGUUGAGCAUCAUGGUCUUAAUGGUCAAACUGUAUUAGAUAAUAUCAGCAAAGCGCAGCUGGAAUGCCCGAUUUGCUACUCGCAGUACAUCAACCCCAAGACUCUGACUUGUAAACACAACUUCUGCCAAAACUGUCUUGAAGAAAUGAGGACAGCCCAUCCUCUGGAAGAAAACAUUAUAUGUCCCAUCUGCAGAAAAGAAACGUCUUCACCAGAGGCAGGAAUUUAUGACCUCACCCAGAGUCUUUUCUUAAUUAACUUGAUGGAAACUAUUGCCGAACAACAGCAGCUCGUCAGACGUCUUCAGACUAAGAUAAUUUGUCAAGAUUGCGAUGAGGAAGAUGAAGCUGUCAGCUACUGCCUUGAUUGUCAGGAAUUUCUUUGCGAGGUUUGUGACAAUGCGCACCAACGUAGCAAAAGAACAAAAAGCCAUGAAAAAGCUUCAAUCGACCAUCUACGCUCUGGCAAAGCAAGUUUCAAAAAGAACUCUCAGCUUCUCACGAAUGUACCAAAAUGUGGUACACACCCCAACCAGAACAAGAUUUUCUACUGCCAACGUUGCUUCAUAAUGAUAUGUGCUUCAUGCACCCAGGAUCAUCGAAACCCUUACCACGAACUCGUUGGUUUAUCACAAGCCAUAGAAUCAAGCAAUGACAUCAUUAAUGAUCGUGUCGAACAAGUUGAGAAGUGCCUACAAAGGUUUACUAAAAAAAGAGAACUUCUUGACAUGUUAUCCACUGAACACCAAGAAAGGAUAAAGCAAAAACACAAAAUUAUCACUGAUGACGCAGACAGAAAAGUUGCUGAACUCCGUAAAGAGGAACAAAAACUUAAAGACAAAGUGACAAGAUUCUGCUAUGAAAAGGGCAAAGAAUUCAAAAAAAUUAUGGCAAGCAACUGUAUAAAUGAAAAAAAGAUAAAGCAACAGCUGGAAAAGGUGACCAAUGACAAGAAAGGAGUCCAGGAAAUUGAUCUUCUGAAAAUGCAAAAGAGUCUUAUGCAAGACUUAAAAGAUGCACUGGAUGUUGACAACCCAACUGGAUGUGUCUGCCUGAAUUUUAAAGAUUUCAAAGAAAGUUCAGACUUCACUGAUGAGGAAAUCUAUCUGAUGUUUGGACAAAAACGAAACAUGACUGACUCCGAGGUUUCAGAUGGGAUGAAAGUUGGCACAUGGGUGGUACGAGGAAAGAAGUGGCAUUGGGGUGCGCAGGAUGGUGACCCACCCGGUGAAGGUGUAAUUAGGCGAAGCAACGACUGGGACGUCAGAGUAGGAUGGGAUGAAGGCCCUGCUGGCCACCUUGACCGUUACUCUCCUGAGGACCUUGAUUUUGCAUGGCCCUAGAGUGACAAUGCAUACAAGCAACAACAAAAACCGACCAUCCACUUUUACAAAAAUCAUUUUGUAUGAUAUUUAGUUUGCAUUAGCAUUACGUCAAAAAGUUGACCUGUAAUACCACGUCGCGAGACCCCUGAUGAGGUCAUUGAUCUGAAACUUCACACAUUAUGAUCAAUUGCCUGCCUGAUGGUCAACAUGUGUGUGUAAACUCUGAAGUGAUUACAAACAACUUUCAUUGCAAUUGUUCUUUAGGAACUAAGUAAAAUGGUGUAUAGACAAACAUAAACAAAGAAUUAACAAUCACAAAAGGCUAACAAGGACUUCAAUGUAUCAACAUAAUGACAAAUAAUUAGGAGUAAGAUUGUUCCAUAUGGAACAACAAGCAGCAUUAGAACAGGAUCUUUGAUAUCGUGCCAAUUCGUUAUGUAUAUUCCAAAAAGUGACUGAGUAGAUCAUUGUGGUGUUCGGGUAGGAGUGUAGUGAUGGACAAGUAUGAUAGGCUUUGAAAGUAACGAGAAGGAUUGUGUACAAACUCAAGUCUCUAGAUUGUCCAAAGUACUAGUGUCUUAAAAGUAGAAAGUCUUAAAGUCUUUUGUAGAAAGUCUUUAAAAGAAAGUAUUAAUGUCUUAAGUAUAAAGCCUUAAGUAGAAAGCCCCAAGUCUAAAGUCUCAAGUAGAAUUAAGUAGAAAGUCUUAAGUAUAAAGUAUAAAGUCUUGAAAAGAAAGUCUUAAUGUCUCAAGUAGAAAGUCUUAAGUCUUAAUGUCUUAAGUAGAAAGUCUUAGGUAGAAAGACUUAAGUCUGAGGUAGAAAGUCUUGAAAAGAAAGUCUUAAUGUCUCAAUUAGAAAGUCUUAAGUCUUAAUGUCUUAAGUAGAAAGUCUUAGGUAGAAAGUCUUAAGUAUAAAGUAUAAAGUCUUGAAAAGAAAGUCUUAAUGUCUCAAGUAGAAAGUCUUAAGUCUUAAUGUCUUAAGUAGAAAGUCUUAGGUAGAAAGACUUAAGUCUGAGGUAGAAAGUCUUAAAAAGAAAGUAUUAAUGUCUUAAGUAUAAAGCCUUAAGUAGAAAGCCCCAAGUCUAAAGUCUCAAGUAGAAUUAAGUAGAAAGUCUUAAGUAUAAAGUAUAAAGUCUUGAAAAGAAAGUCUUAAUGUCUCAAGUAGAAAGUCUUAAGUCUUAAUGUCUUAAGUAGAAAGUCUUAGGUAGAAAGACUUAAGUCUGAGGUAGAAAGUCUUGAAAAGAAAGUCUUAAUGUCUCAAUUAGAAAGUCUUAAGUCUUAAUGUCUUAAGUAGAAAGUCUUAGGUAGAAAGUCUUAAGUAUAAAGUAUAAAGUCUUGAAAAGAAAGUCUUAAUGUCUCAAGUAGAAAGUCUUAAGUCUUAAUGUCUUAAGUAGAAAGUCUUAGGUAGAAAGACUUAAGUCUGAGGUAGAAAGUCUUAAAAAGAAAGUCUUAAUGUCAUGGAAAGUUGAAAGCCUUGAAUCUUAAAUCUAAGGUAGAAAGUCUUAAAAAGAAAGUCUUAAUGUCAUUAAGUCGAAAGCCUUGAAUCUUAAAUCUAAGGUAGAAAGUCUAAAGUCUUAAGUAGAAAGUCUUAGGUAGAAAGACUUAAGUCUGAGGUAGAAAGUCUUAAAAAGAAAGUCUUAGUGUCAUAAGUCGAAAGCCUUGAGUUUAAAUCUAAGGUACAAAGUCUUACAGUGUUAGGAAGAAAGCCUUCAAAAGAAAGUCUUAAUGGGGUACCCGGUAUUAGUAUAAAAACAAAUUGUUAAUUUUUAAUACACAUUGUUAAUCGUUUUCAUGAAAUGUAAAGAGUAGUACUAAAAUAUUUUGGUGAAUACUUGUUGAGGUCUUUUUUAUUUAGGUGGUAUUUCUUUGUUUCUGAAAAAUGCUAGGGUGACAAGCGAUAUCUUUGUUAGUUACUCAAAAAAUAAAUUAUCAUAACAAUUUGCAGCUGUUGAUGUUGAUAAUAACGUAUAACAUUUUGAGAACUGAUUCCAUUAAAAGGAAUGUAGUUUUAGAGAGAGAGAUUCAGCCAAAUUUCAAUUUCAGAAAUGUUGCAUGCAUGAAAUGUUUCUCAGAUUGUGAAGUCCAAUUUCUGGUUAAUCUUCCUGCAUGGACAUAACCGCUCCAGACUUAAGCGGUAUUUACUCGUAGAUCAUUUAUUAAAAUGAUUUUAUUAAAAAGACCAGAAUCAAAAUGAAAUGAGACUAGAAUAAACAGAUUAUCAUCUUAUAACCGCUUCAUUUGAUAAAAACAAACUAAGAGAAGAUUUAUCUCUUCUGUUUUAUGGGUGAUACGCAGCAGGCUUAAAAGAUAUUUGUGAGAUUCAAACUAAACAUUUUGAACAUCAUUCAAUUUUUGUGGACAAAGAUGUUACAUUGAAAUGUCCAGUCUUAAACUUACCUGCCCAACACUGACAUUAUAUCACUAGCCUUGGGAAAGUGGGCCAGUGUAAGAGUUGAGCCCUGAGUGUACAAUUAAACAGGUAAAUUCAGGCCUGUAUGCCUUGUUUUCAAAAGGGCAAGGGCACCAAGACAUU